UACGUAGGAGGCGAGCGUUGUCCGGAGUUACUGGGCGUAAAGGGCUCGUAGGCGGCGUGUCGCGUCGGGAGUGAAAGACCGGGGCUUAACCCCGGUUCUGCUUCCGGUACGGGCAUGCUGGAGUGUGGCAGGGGAGACUGGAAGUUCCUGGUGUAGCGGUGGAAUGCGCAGAUAUCAGGAGGAACACCGGUGGCGAAGGCGGGUCUCUGGGCCAUUACUGACGCUGAGGAGCGAAAGCGUGGGGAGCGAACAGG
rnacentral:rRNA from 1 species